GACGAACGCUGGCGGCGUGCUUAACACAUGCAAGUCGAACGGAAAGGCCCUGCUUUUGUGGGGUGCUCGAGUGGCGAACGGGUGAGUAACACGUGAGUAACCUGCCCUUGACUUUGGGAUAACUUCAGGAAACUGGGGCUAAUACCGGAUAGGAGCUCCUGCUGCAUGGUGGGGGUUGGAAAGUUUCGGCGGUUGGGGAUGGACUCGCGGCUUAUCAGCUUGUUGGUGGGGUAGUGGCUUACCAAGGCUUUGACGGGUGGCCGGCCUGAGAGGGUGACCGGCCACAUUGGGACUGAGAUACGGCCCAGACUCCUACGGGAGGCAGCAGUGGGGAAUAUUGCACAAUGGGCGGAAGCCUGAUGCAGCAACGCCGCGUGCGGGAUGACGGCCUUCGGGUUGUAAACCGCUUUCGCCUGUGACGAAGCGUGAGUGACGGUAAUGGGUAAAGAAGCACCGGCUAACUACGCG
rnacentral:rRNA from 1 species